rnacentral:rRNA from 1 species
GAUGAACGCUGGCGGCGUGCCUAAUACAUGCAAGUCGAGCGAACAGACGAGGAGCUUGCUCCUCUGACGUUAGCGGCGGACGGGUGAGUAACACGUGGAUAACCUACCUAUAAGACUGGGAUAACUUCGGGAAACCGGAGCUAAUACCGGAUAAUAUAUUGAACCGCAUGGUUCAAUAGUGAAAGACGGUUUUGCUGUCACUUAUAGAUGGAUCCGCGCCGCAUUAGCUAGUUGGUAAGGUAACGGCUUACCAAGGCGACGAUGCGUAGCCGACCUGAGAGGGUGAUCGGCCACCCUGGAACUGAGCCACGGUCCAGACUCCUACGGGAGGCAGCAGUAGGGAAUCUUCCGCAAUGGGCGAAAGCCUGACGGAGCAACGCCGCGUGAGUGAUGACGGUCUUCGGAUCGUAAAACUCUGUUAUUAGGGAAGAACAAAUGUGUAAGUAACUAUGCACGUCUUGACGGUACCUAAUCAGAAAGCCACGGCUAACUACGUG